GGCCAGUCUGCGGAGUAAUUAGCGAGGCUGGUUGGGGAGGGCUGAGGAAAACAAUCGCCCCUGCUGUCUGCUCAAGUUCGGGCCUGCUGAACUGACUUAAUUGGCCGUGUAAUAAUGUCGACCUGAGGAGAGCUUGCGUGAAAGGGCUGUCCCGGUUCCCACAAACCCAGGGCCAGCGCCAAUCCAACCCCGCGCUGAAAGACUGACGGGAAGAAAAGCGACACCGCACAAUGAAAGGCCUCGGCCGGGCGGGUGAAGGAUUUCUCCGUCUAAUUAGACGCGCCCUGUUUCCAGAGCCACACACCGCCCAGCGGGCCUGCUGCGCCUGGCCAUGCGGAGCUCCGCGGGUAGCCAAGCUUAGACCGGCCGCUGAUUAGGACAUCUCUCAUGCUGGAGCAGAGCGUCCUCCACUGGCUGCGCUGGAAAACAAAUGCAGACUGGAGGAGAAGCCGCCUGUUAGUUCAAUCAUUUGUCAGAUCAAUAACAGGUAAUUAUGUGUUAUAAUGCAGCUUGUGGAGGCCUGUGUUUCUCCCAGGUGCAUAUACAACACUGUCAACACAAACUGCUGCUAUAGACAGCUUUAAAUAACAGCGCCUGUCAAAAAUGAAUCCAUUUUAUUAGGACUUUGAAAGAAAUGAUUAUAAUCUGAAAAUGCCAUUCAACUAAAAGAGCCAGAGCUACCUGUUGUGUUUAUUCCUAACGCUCCUCCUGCUGGGUUUCAUUUCUAUAUUGGUCUUUAGAAGCACUUAUUUUUACCCUUUAAUUUGAUCAAUAUAAUAAAGCA
ensembl:processed_transcript